rnacentral:rRNA from 1 species
UUAGAGUUUGAUCCUGGCUCAGGAUGAACGCUAGCUACAGGCUUAACACAUGCAAGUCGAGGGGCAGCAUGAACUUAGCUUGCUAAGUUUGAUGGCGACCGGCGCACGGGUGAGUAACACGUAUCCAACCUUCCGUUUACUCAGGGAUAGCCUUUCGAAAGAAAGAUUAAUACCUGAUAGUAUGGUGAGAUUGCAUGAUAACACCAUUAAAGAUUUAUUGGUAAACGAUGGGGAUGCGUUCCAUUAGGUAGUAGGCGGGGUAACGGCCCACCUAGCCUGCGAUGGAUAGGGGUUCUGAGAGGAAGGCCCCCCACAUUGGAACUGAGACACGGUCCAAACUCCUACGGGAGGCAGCAGUGAGGAAUAUUGGUCAAUGGGCGAGAGCCUGAACCAGCCAAGUAGCGUGAAGGAUGAAGGUCCUACGGAUUGUAAACUUCUUUUAUACGGGAAUAAAGUUUCCUACGUGUAGGAUUUUGUAUGUACCGUAUGAAUAAGCAUCGGCUAACUCCGUGCCAGCAGCCGCGGUAAUACGGAGGAUGCGAGCGUUAUCCGGAUUUAUUGGGUUUAAAGGGAGCGCAGACGGGAGAUUAAGUCAGUUGUGAAAGUUUGCGGCUCAACCGUAAAAUUGCAGUUGAUACUGGUUUCCUUGAGUGCAGUUGAGGCAGGCGGAAUUCGUGGUGUAGCGGUGAAAUGCUUAGAUAUCACGAAGAACCCCGAUUGCGAAGGCAGCUUGCUAAACUGUAACUGACGUUCAUGCUCGAAAGUGUGGGUAUCAAACAGGAUUAGAUACCCUGGUAGUCCACACGGUAAACGAUGGAUACCCGCUGUUGGCGAUAUACUGUCAGCGGCCAAGCGAAAGCAUUAAGUAUCCCACCUGGGGAGUACGCCGGCAACGG